CUGUGAUUUUGUUAUUUAUGAUUUGGGUCUGUUUUCUGAGAAAUGCUGGCCACAGAGACUGAGGAGAGGCAGUGCCACCAAGCAGGAGACCUUCCGUUCAGCUCUGGUAAUGGUAACACCUGCUUCCCCGUGCUUGUCUUAAAAGCACUAAAAGCAGGUAGCUGGUGGCUUUUCUUAUGGGUCUCGGAUAACCUCAGGACCCAAUUGACAACACAGAUGGGAAGUCGCAGACCUGAGUAAUGAGGUGGUGUCACAGAAACCUCGGAAGGUUCUAGGAUGCCACAAACAACCGGCACCUGAGGAAGCAUUCUCUUCUAAUAUUUUUUUCCCCUUCAAAGUCUUUGGGGUUGACCGCUUGGUGCUGAAUAACAAAGCCGGGAGCUCUUCCCAGGGGCAGACGAUUACUCAAAGUCUCAGAGAUCCCUAUUUUCGUCUAGGAUUAAGGGUGCGGUGAGAUUUCCCCCUCCCAUGUCAGCGUGGCUAUUGGUGUUGCCUUCAUUCAGGCCUUUUCUAGGUGGCCGUGACGACGAGACUUCGCUGAUGUGGCUUCUCUCACAUUUCGAGAAGAUGAGUUCUCCCAGGAAGCCUCCUGCUCCUUGACUCUCACAAUCCUUCUGCCGCCUGUCACUGCAGUCCCUUAAGCCUCUGGGGGCAGGAAUUGGCCAACUACUGGGGCCAGUGAAGUCAAUGAUCUUGGUAGAGAACCUACAUCCACCAUUUUACUAAAAAGGCGUCAUUCCUUAAAUAAAUCUUAAAUAUUUACCCUCCACCUACAGGUAAGUACAGAUCUUAGCCCUCGUCAGGGAGAAGAGGUCCUUGUAACAGAUGCUUCCCAUUCUCAUCCAGCCUCACAGCAUCAGCAGCUGUCCUGGGUACCCUUUAGGGAUGCUUCCUUUGGCUGAGGAAAUGCAGCUUGUCAAGGACUAGAUUCCUCUGGAGGAAAACAACUUCAGCAAGGAUGCUAGCAGGCGGGAGAGCUGAGGGCAGAUUGACCGAAGUCGCAAUUGUGAACUGGCCACAGUGGACUGACUGCCUCCACAUGCAAAACUUUAAGCUCCUAUUCCAUAUCCUCUGGAAAAUGGAGGUAAUAACAUUAGAAAGCUGAAGCCAUCUUCCUGUAGACAGUCAGGAUGAAGGUUGCACAGGAGGCCCUGGGGAGCCCACUGAGUGUUGGACGCUCUCACUGUUAGUAAUGAGUGGGUCCUUGUCACAGGGAGCCUGCUGUAGGACGGUUGCGCAACGUAGGAGCCGGUUCUAGAAUGCAGUGGAAACUCAGCGAAGGUUGAUGUCCUUAGGCAGGUGAAGGCAAGUACAGGACAGAACAAGGCCUGCCAUUGGAUGAGAAGGAAGGAUGGGCAGGAGGAACGUUUUAGAGAAGCAGAGCGAAAGGAGGAGGCAGCCGAGAGAACAUGGCUGCGAAUGUUAAGAUUCCUCUCUGCACACAUUACAGGUUGUUGUGACUGUUGUUAAGGGAUGGAUGUGUACAGGACUUUGUGUUGUCUAGAUGGGAAAAUUAUAUCUUAUCUAGAAGGGAGGUUUAUAUCCUUAUCAAUUGAAUCAGAGGAUAUUCUGGGAUGUAUUCCUUCAUGUGGCAAUUUAAUUGAGCUCAAGAGAGUAUAUGGUGGCUGGAUGCACCAGGCCCGCUACAGAAUUGGGAUGUGUAUGCCUGGCAUGGUGGAAAUCAGCCAAGGGAGCUGUGAGUGAGGGUGGGGUGGCCUGACAGGGUGCCGUGUUGGAAUGGCUCACAGACAGUGGGUCAGAAAGUAGAUGGGGGCAGCAUGAAGCCACUGAGAUCAAUUGGCCCUAGUUCCAAUGGCCUGCCGGAGCCUGAACUAGUGAGAGAACAAGAGAAGUUCCUCCCCUUUUUUAUUUUUACCACAGCUCAGUCCUGGCUCCGAACCCAUGGCCUGGAUGGAUAGAUUCUUUUACCCAUUAUAGUAGGUCCAGAGACCCAGACAAGACCAGAUCUUGCAAAGGGAGGAUCUCAACCCCAAACUUGUGGCUGAAAGAGCACAGGCACCUGUUUGGAUGCUCAUACCUGUUCUGGUUAGUCAGCUGCUCCUGGAGCCCCUUAUAUCUCCACAUGGCAUUUGUCUCUGUUGUAGGUGAGCCCUCUGCCCUUUAGAAUCGCAUGGUAAGCUCUAAUUCCGAAAGCACUAUUUAGACCCCAUUCAAUACUCCUUAAAAUUCCGAGUUCCUAUCUAUUUCCUACAAAUUUAAAAUUUCUGAUUAAAUCAACAUUUACUCUGAGUGUCUUACUCCUCAGUGUGGAUGACGAGAUUAUCAAUCGUGUAUGUUUGAAUAAGGACUAAAUACAGACUUCAUAAUGUCGAGACAACAAACAUGCAGAGAGACAGCUUUUAGACAGCACUCUCCUUAUUUGCAAUAACAGAAUACACAAAUUAUGGCUUUCCUCUCCCCAAGGGUCAGUGGAGUAAACUCAGCUAACAGUAUUAUAAUCAAAUUAUUUUAUGUACAUUACUAUCUUUCUUAUUAAUCGCUCGUUCUUUUUUAAAGAAGUGUUUUGACCAAGAAGAGCAUUUUAUUCUACAGCAAAGGACCCCACUGUUUAAGAAGUCAGUCUAUCUAUAUUCAUUCAUGCAUAAUUUAAUAAGUGUCUGCGCUCCACUUACGCAUUCAUUGUGGAGCCUUAUACAUGUUUUAGGCUGUAAUGGGCUGGGGGAAUUUAGUUGGGUCAAAUUUAGUUUCUGCAAACUGGGAUGGAAUGCUUCUAUAAUGCCAACUUUUACUAGUCAUUUAAACAAAUAAAAGAGACAACCCUCAGAAAGGAACUCCUUGACACAAGGAGGCCAUGUUUAGAUAAGGCUCAGAGGGAUACAGGGAAGAAACAGAAAGGAAUGAUAGAUACUGCUUCCACAUGUGGAAUUCCACAGUAAUUGCAGGAUGGGGCCUCAAGAGAGGAUAGAGACAGCUUCUACUUCAAGGCAGAAAGAACCGGGGCUCUGGCACUGCACUGGGGGGAGCUGCUUAGAUCAGGGUUGAAACAUGAGUUAUGAACAUGAGGAAUGAAGUCCAUCUGCGUGGAGUCCAACAGCUCGAUGGCCAUGGAAGGACCUAAGAAAUGAGGUAGGUCAAGGGGGUGUCAGCUCAGAGUGAGUUCAUCAUGGGGUUGUUGGGAGUAUUGAAAACCAAAAGCUAGGAUUCUGAGCUAGGAUUCUGAGGGGCCAUAUAUCUGAGGAUAUGGUGGGUCCUAAGAUGAAGUUGCUAUCGCCAGAUGUCCACAUUUUGGGGCUCUCUGUCUGCAUCAGGGGGUCUGGGCGAUGCUGGUUUGAUUCUUCAGACACUCUUCCUGCCUGUUUAGGUCAGCUCCUUCAUUUCCAGUCAUGGCUCUGGGCUUCUUCCCAUUUUACAAACAGAGCGUCAGGGGGAGCACCUUCAGGAUCGCAUGGCAACCAGUUCAAGAGUCAGCCCAUGCAGAGCCACCCUGGGGUCACUGUGUUCUCAAGCAGGUAGAGAUGGGGUACUUUGGACGCUGUGAGGUGAUGGCAGCUGGAGGUGAGGAAGGAGGUGGGGUGAAAGGCAAUUGAUGAUAGAGUAGUUUUAGUGGGCUGGAGUGAUUGACAGCUCCUGGAUUUUACUGUGUACUCCUGUCUACCUCUGUGGACAGAAGUUGCUUUUCCACACAAAUCUCAUCACGCUCCAUAUCCAGGUGAGAUGUCUGAAUGAAGGGAAGUUGGAUAGAAUGUCAGCCUUCAACAAAGCUAUAGAAUUGAGUUACAGAGCUCUCAGUUCUGCACUGCCUCUAUCUGCCUGCUUACCACUCACAUAGGGUCUUCAUACUCUGCUGGGAGCUUCAGGCCAGAAGCUAGAGGCUGGCCUUCUGUAGGGGAUGAGCCCUAAGUCCUCAUCCACUUAAGCAUUUUUGUCCUGCUCCUAACUUCCAGGGGAGGGCAUUGCCUACCUGAACAAGCCCCUCACCUGACUCACUGCUUCUCAGGAUAAAGGUCAGAGUAGGCAAACUCAUUGGCUCUGAGUCGUGUAGCAUCCCAGGCCUUCUGGAUAGUGAUUGGUACUCUUGCUCCUUGCUAAAACAGAUAGUGGGCUUUUCGAAAUCACAUUGUCUAAUUUUGGAUCUCCCAACCUAAAAGGUUUUUUUAACAGGGUGACUCAUGCUGGAAAUGCACAGAGAGUAGGCCUGAUAUCACAUAACCUCCAAUAAACACCACCAAACAACAGGGCAACCUGGUUAGUGGUUUGAGACUCGGAGCCCAGGAGACUUUCAUAAGACAGAACGAAUUUUCCAGCAGGGAUUAUCCUUCAGAUUGGAAUUUAAUGAAACAAUCGCUAACACCGGAGGCUUAUGCAGAAGAACUGGCAGACUCCAGGGAGACUGGGGCUCGUCUGGGGAAGAUAUUUACCUAAUAAACCAUGAAUAAAUAAUAGAGCAUCUAAGUCAAGAGAUGCAGAGGACAAAGGUGGGGGCUGGAUAAAGCUUUAAAAGCUAAAUCAUGUCUUGACGGUGUGCUAUACACCAUUACUGUAGAAUCACAGUCACGGGUGCAGACGAAAGCGUCUAGGAAGCUGCUCAUGGCUCUGGGUAUGAGCUGUAUUAGAUCAGGUUAUGUAAUGACAGCAACAUCCUCAGUCAGUGAUGUUUCUUGCUUCUUGCUGAUUCCCCUUCCUUCUGUAUCUCUGUGUAUGUGUGUCUAUGUGCACACACAUACAAGUGUGCAUACAUGCUUGUGCAUGUGUGUGCAUGUAUGUGUGUGUGCUCAUGUAUAUACUGUAUACAUGUUACUCUGAAGGAGGCAUGUGGAUGUUACAUAUCAGUGUCUCCUUUAGUUGUUCUCAACCUUAUUCGUUUAGACAAGAUCUUUAAUUGAAUUUGGAACUCAUUCUGCCAGGCUGGUUGACCAGAAAGCUCUGGAGAUCCCUUCAUUUGAGAACUAGAAUUACAGAUGGCUUGGCUCUUUUAGGUGGGCUUUGAGGAUCUGAACUCAGGUCCUCAGGCUUACAUGACGAGUGCUUUACUGACUGAGCCAUCUCUUUAUCUCUGAAGGUUCAAUCCCUGCCUGUGCUCAAUGCAAGGAUGUUAUCGCCAGAGUUGUGACUCUCAUAAACAUGGAGGGGACAAGAUGACAGGGAUGUCAGAAUCUAUCAGAUGGGAAGAGAAGGCUGGAGAAUUGAAUACCAUAUUCCGACUGUGGUUUGAAAUGGCAUGUGCUACUUGCCUACACAUGUCCAAAGUCAGUCCUGGAGCUUGGACCUGCUAGCAUCAAGGAGAUAGGAAAUGUAGUCCCCUGUAGUCAGAGGGAAGAAAAAUCCCCAUUAUUGGUUUACUGUUAGUGUGCUGGUUAAUGUUUGUCAAUUUGAAGCAAAUAUGGGAAGAGGAGACCUCGGGUGAAGAACUGCUUCCAUCAGAUUUGCAUACGGCAUAUUUUCUUGAUUUACUAUGUGGGGGGACAUUCUACUGCGGAUGGUGCCCUUCUGGGCAAGUGGCCGGGAGGAUGUAUUAUGAGGCAGGCUGAGCAAGCAAAAGGAAGUCUGUGAGCAGCGCUCCCUCACAGCCUCUACUUCAGUUUCUCCCUUGAGUUCCUGCUCCGGUUUCCCUUCCUGAUGAACUCUAAUGUAGAAAUUUAUGCCAAAUAAACCCUUUCCUGCCGAGGAUGUUUUUGGUCAGUGUUUUAUCACGGCAACAGAAAGCAAGACCGGUUAGCAACCUUACCACAUGUGUAAUGGCAAAACCUGGGAAGAAGUAACCAUCACUGUAUAUGAUUCAUGUAAAAACAACCAUUAGAAGUGAGCUGGAUGACUUAAAAAUGAUAAAAUGCACAUUUUAGAAGCACAUGCACAAUAGUAGCCCUCUUAUAGUUAAUACACCCAUAGCACUUUUCUGUCAGUGGAUGGAGUAUACAUAGAGAUUGUGCUCACCUUCCAAAACACCUUGCAGUGGCUGUCAAAACUGUGGGUGCUCCUGAAAUCUGAACAGUGUGCCCCUAUUUCAUGCUGGGGUCAUAACAUCUGAUGCAUGAAGCAUGGCAGCAAAGGUCCUGCAGCAAAGGUCUUCCUUCUUCUUUGACCCAUAGAUAGAUUGACUUUCGCCAUUGACAUCAGCAAUGUUGACACAGAAUGCUAUUUUCUGUUGCUUAAGUCAAGAAUUUCACCCUGUCCCUUUCCUUUCAUUUAAAGGAAGCACGAAUAACUAAGACAGAAUCCAGAAUGCGCACUGCUUGUGGAAAGAAGGAAGUCUGGAUAGAGCAGGGCCCUGGCUUGCCGACCAUUGCUGGAAUAAAACUGAUCACACUGAUCACAGUCAACCUUUGGAGGAAAGGGCUAUUUGCUUUACAGAUCUAUCAAUGAGGAGAGUCAGGUCAGGGACUCAAAGCAGGAACCUGGAGUCUGAGGCCAGAGAGGAACAAUGCUUUGCAUGACCUGUUCAAUUUGCUUCUUUAAAUGGCCUGGGAAUCACCUGCCCAGAGCUGGCACAAAUCACAGUGGGCUGGGCUUCCCCAUCGAUCAGUAAUCAAGAAAAUGCCCCACAGAUGCACCCAUCGGCCAAUCUGAUGGAGGCACCUAAAUAUAUAGUGAUUUCUUUCCAGGUAACUCUAGUUGGUGUCAAGCUGACAAAAAUCUACCCAGUACAAGCACAUGCUAGAAGAUUCUAUGUGUGUGGACACAUGGAAAAGAGAAACUGUGGAGAUGACACGUAGAUUACUAGUUGCUAGGAAUGAGGAGGAAACAGGAGCCCAGUGUGAAACCAUUUAGGGCAAUGCAACAGAAUCUGAUGACGUAACCGUGCAUUCAUGGAGUAGCAGUUACUUUCCUCAUUGCUGUGGUCAGAUCCUGACAAAAAAUUAGGGAAGGAAACAGGUGUCUGGUAUAGUUUGAGGGGACAUCCCAUCCAUCACGAUGACGGUGGAAAAGGCACAGUGGCAGGAACAUGAGGUAACUAGUCACACUGGGUCCUCAAUCUGGAAACAGAAAUGAAGCCCAGUGUCUAGCUCGCUUUCUUCUUUUCCCCCAGUCCAGGAUGUCAGCCCGUGGAACAGAGAGCCUACAUUUAGACUGAGUCUUCCCACCUCGCUUAAUUCAGUCUCUAAACCCUCUCACAAAAACGUCCAGAGAUGCGUUUCUACGAUGAUUCUAAGUUCCACCAAGAUGGCAACCCAGGGUCUCCCGAUGUAUCUCCUACUGGCCUUGCCUCAGUGUCCCCAGUUCUACCCUUCCAGCUGUGUGCUACAGAAUCCGGCAUCUCUGUCUUUUAAGAGACCGUCAGAAGGAUGCGAAUCUGGGUUUAGACAGGUAAGUCUGUCGAGGAUGACUCAGGGGAAGGGAGGAUUGAUCAUGUUCUGCCCAGUAGCGAUUUCGGCAGUAGCAAUGACCAUGGUGCUGAUUAAUGGCCGGGUACAGUUGUGAGGACCUGAGCACAGACACUUGAGAGAGAAGGGUGGUGGGUGAGGUGAAGGAGCCACGCACAUCCGCAGGUGAGGUGAGUAAAUAAAUCCCAAGGAAAGGAGGAAAAUGAGCAUUCAUCAGAAGUGUGCUGAGCUGUGGUACCGCCAGGCACAAUCAGAGGGCUUCUUAAUUGCUUGUCAGAGACCAGUGCAUCUUGGCAAAAUGUUCCUCAACUAAUGCUCAGAGAGCUUUUUCCCCCCCUUAACCUGGCUUCAUUUAUCAUGAUUAGAAAACAAGUCAAAAUUGAUUUCUGUUUAUUUUAUGCGGCAAACCCCCGGGGAGGCUUUUCUUCCCAGUGGGUUUGACAAUUUUGAGCUGGGUAGGGGAAGCCCCUCCGAGCAUAAAGACCCACUUGAGUGCUGCUUCAAGCAGGUGUGUGAAGUCCUUGGGUCUUACAGACUGUGUCAGUCUCUUAAGCUUUUCCAAGCCACCUCCCACGCACGUACGUGAGCCUUUUAGGCAGCUCUUUCUUACAUUAAAAUGAGCACAUUAAGGGAGACUUGUAGGGAAAUAGCUCGGGGAGGUUUAGAAUCAGACCUGUGUUUGAUUUUCUUGGCUUUACCACCUCACAGCCCUAUGACCUUGGGAGAGUCACUAAAAGUUCUCUGAGGUUUAACUCGGGGAAAGCAAAUUCCUAUCUGAUUUCCCAAGACCCUUAGAAGUCUUGGGCUAAAGACGUUGACAUAGAAGUCCUGCUCCCCUAGUAAGAGGGUAGGCUACACAGCACUGUGAGUUCCAAGAUCCCAUCCUGGCUUCUGAGUUUCGUCAGCAGCACUACCCAUGCUCGGCUUUGGUUUGCAGCUGACACUUAGCAUACAGCCUGUCACAGAGUCGGUGCCCACCUGGACAGCUCAGGACGAAUGAUGCACCUAGGACACACCUUGGUGUGUUAGAUGUGCUUACCAGACACCGUUUUGUGUGAUCCAGUUUGUAUGCUGUCGUACGUUCCUCGAGGGAAAAAUACACUAAGCAGAUCUCUCCUCGCCAGCAGUGUGCCUCCUGCCGCAGAAGGUACAGCCAUGUACCCUUCAACUAAACCCACUACGCUCAGCUGAGGCAGGAGGAUUCAGGGACAGCCAGCCUGGGCAGUAUAGGGAGGUCCUAAUAUAAGUGCUUGUUCAUCUAAUAUUUCUGUCAGAGUUACAUGCCGUGACCAUCCUCAGACCUGCAAGAUAAAAAUCUGUGGUCAACUUGCCCAUACUUGUUCUUGCCCUCUAGCCAUGCCUAAGAGCUGGUUCUCUGUCUCUCUGUCUCUCUGUCUCUCUGUCUCUGUCUGUCUCUGUCUUUAUGUCUCUGUGUCUCUCAGACACACACACAUACACACACAUACAAUACACAUAUACACACACAUAUACACACACACAUACAUACACACACAUACACACACAGACACACACAUACACACACACAGACACACACACACACACACACACACACACACACACACGACAAAUACUCUAUUCUACUAGGACUUUGUUAAUUGGGUAAAUCAUAUCUGAAGAACUGACAUACAUCCCCAAUCUGGGUCCCUGCCUUGCUUGCGAACGAGCUAUGAUAGGAACAGUAAUGCCACACCCAGAAAAGGUCACCACACCCCUUUUCCUACUCAGACACUUAUAAGCCCCAAAGAGAUUCCAGGAGCUUGUGCUCUCCUUCUGGAAAUGAAAUCACAAAACCCACCACAACAAAAACCAAAACAACCUCAGCCAGGUGAGGCAGCCUUGGAGGGGUCUCCAUCUGAGCUCAAGCACCAGAAGUGUCCCCUGCACUGAUCUCAAACUUGCGUCCAGCAUGAGCUUAAACUCUGUUUCUGGGGCUCAGUGCUCAGGAGCUCUCCUCCUGUUCCCUUUAACUCACACCCCUGGUAACUAACUCCAGCCCCUCUGCCAGGACGCAUGUCUGCCCUGGGAUUUCUUUCAUCUGUGUAGCCAAGGAAAAGAUGAUUAAGGUUUUCAUUGUUCCACACAGAAGCUGGGAGCCAGACAGAAAUAUGGCCUGCCUUGGUGCCCAGUGUCCCCUUGUCUCACACUUGCUUUGUGACCCUUGCUCCUAAUUUCAUUCUUCCCUUUGCCUCAGAGAAACAGGUCUCUCUCUCUCUCUCUCUCUCUCUCUCUCUCUCUCACACACACACACACACACACACACACACAAACACACCCACUCUCUCUCUCUCUCUUACACACACACACACACACACACACACACACACACACUUUCUCCUACACUCUUCUUUCCCCCUGACAAUCUCUUUCUCUCCACUGCCCAAUUUCUAGAAGCUUACAGACGUGUAAGACUGGUUUACUCUGGAAAGAAGAAAAUAGCAAGCAAUUGUCCUCAUUCCCCCAGCCUUGACUUCUUUCUGACAGCAUCCAUUUCCUGCUCGCUCCUCUGUUUCCCGACCAGGUACUUCCCAGGCCUUGGCCAAUGAGCUAAGUGUCUCAUCCAUUUACUGAAAAUCUUACAGCCAGGAUCACCAAUAAUCAAAUAAAACUCAACUCCAGAGCAGGGUCUGUAUGACUCGUGGUAUGUUAUUUAUUUAUUUAUUUACUUAGUUAGAUUUGCUAAUAGCAGACACUGAGCCAUUAUUUGGACAAGAUACUCUGCCCCCCACAAUCUCUGUUCUUUCUGCCUACCAGAGGAAAAAUCAUGGUGCUGGGGAGAUGGUUCAGACAGAAAACUGGGCAAUGCAAGCAUGAAGACUUGAGUUUGGUAUCCCAGCACCCGUGUGAAACUCGUGUAGGCUUGAUAACACAGGCCUACAAUACCCCUGCUGGGGACCGAGACAGGAGACCCCUAGAGUUUGCUAGCUAAGCAGUAUAGACAAUUGCUGAGCUCAAGGUUUAGUGAGAGACCCUGAAAGCAAGGUGGAGAAAUGACUAAGAACCAUAAUUGACAUUAAUCCCUGGCCUCUAAACACACACACACACACACACACACACACACACACACACACACACCCCACCUGUAAGCAGGGCCUCCUUUACACCAGAGCUCCUAAAUCAGAGCUCUCAGUGGAUGAUAAAGGAGGCAGAUGUUCAUUAUCAUCAAACACAUAUGAAGCUGAGCUUUACACAACCUAAGGAUUCUGAGAGCUAAGUGUUAUUUUAUGAGACCUUUCAAUUUGGAAGUGCAUUGCAGAUAAAACAAGACUUCGGUGUAAACCACUGAUGUAUUGUGUUGUUAAGAACAAUGAAUUAUUAAAAGGAUAAUCUUUUAAACACCAAGAAAUUGUCUUCUAGUGCACUCCAGGGGCCGUGGGUAAAUGCAUUACGCCUGCAAAUUCAUGCUACCGGGCUGUAAUUUUCAAAAUCACCGUGGAAUACACCUGACGUCAUAGACUUAUCUUCCUCCCACAUUCUGGGCUACAGUGGGACCAUGGAGACGGUGUAUAGAACAAGUGAAAGGUCACCUUGCCCUCUAUUUCUGUGCACAGCUGAGAGGCCAUGGGUAAGCUAUUUAGAUAGCCCUUCCAAAAAGUACUCAAAACUCCAGCCCACCAGUGUGAUCUCCCAAGAGUCUUUGUGAUAAUUUAUUCUAUUGUUAAUUUUUGGUAGGAUUUUAGAGACACCAUGGGAACAAAUCUCUGUAAGGUAGCUUCUAGAUUAAGUUACUUAUUACAGGAAGGCCUACCCUAAAACUGGCUAGAACUAUGCCAUCAUCUGGAGACCUGGCCUGAAUAGAGAGGAGUGAGCUGAGGCCUGGCACCCCAUCUCUCUCUCUUCUUACUGUGAAUGCCAUGUGGCCUCCCUCCUGAUGCCCCAUCUUUCCCACCAUGAUGAAUUAUACCCUCAAACCAUGAGCCAAAAUAAGUCCUCCUUUCCUUUGUCACAGCAACAAAACAAUGCCUUUGUCUUUGGUCUCACCACAAAUUCUUACCUCGCGGCAUCUUUGCACCAAGAUUCACCCUUUCUAAGGCAGUCAAAGCCUCUAUGAGGCCGAUGGUCCCAUUUAAUCAGUGAAUCUGGUUCUAUUGGGGUGUAAAGCUCCAGCUCAGAAUUUGGUCCCUAAGCCUGAGUCUAUCUCAGCCCAAACCCCAGCCCCAGACAACUGGGUAUGGCCUCUCUCCACAUACUCAUCCCUCAUGGUAUUGUCACGCCACCCCCAAGCAUUGUGUGGACAAAGUCCCAUGGCUGCAUACUUUCCCCAUAGUUCGUUGGCCACAGCUCUGUGCUCUCAGUGCCCUCUGCUCCCACAGCUUUCUCCAUUCAGUAGAUGAGAGCUUCGCAGGAGAAUCCUAAUACAUACUGUUUAAAUUAUCCAAGAGCGUCAUUAAAAAGUAAAAUCAAACGUUUUCAUUGAUGAUAGGAAUCAUCUUAAUAAUAUAUUUUAUUUAACUUUGUGGAGUCAAAAAUCAUUAUUUUAUACGGCAUAGGAACUAUUCAUGAGAUUUAAAAAAAAAAAAAAAGAAA